GGUGGUGUGCUCCUGCGGCUCCUGUUGUGUCGCAGGCACACGCGCCGUUGGCGGAGCUGCAGAUAAAGUGGUCUGAGCAGGACAGCCGCUGCCCCCACCAGCGCGCUGCCUGAACGGACCGAGAGGCCUAGCGACCCGACUCGCUGCCUCCCUCGAGUCCCCAGAGCUCGGGCUCAGCUUUCUCCAGGCUUCUGGGCCCGAAGUAUGUAGCCCGCCUGCGGCCCGCCUAGGUACCCAGCGGCUGUCGCCCACCGGGCCGUCGAGGCGGCCAGGUGCGCAGCGCGGAGCGGCUCGCAGCGGGGCACAGGCCCGGUCUGCCAGCGGCCUGACCGGCCAUCGGAGCCUGCCUCGCGGGCCUCCAUCCCGUUCUCUCCGGCUCGCCCUCCUAGGGCCGUCUUUAUGGGCCACCUUCUUUCGAAGGAGCCUCGGAACCGUGCGAGCCAGAAGAAGCCUCGUUGCUGCAGCUGGUGUCGCCGCCGGCGCCCUCUCAUCAGGCUGCCGGGCCGGACGCCGACCAAGUCGUCCCCACAGCCCGCGGCGGCGGCGGCCCGCAACCGGGACUGCUUCUUCCGCGGGCCCUGCAUGCUCUGUUUCAUCGUGCACAGCCCCAGCGGGCCCGCCCCCGCCGGCCCAGAGGAGGAGCCGCCGCUGUCGCCGCCGCUGCCGCGGGACGGGGCCUACGCCACCUCCCCCUUGCAGCACCUAGAGCCGCGCUACGCGGCCUUGGCGGCCGAAGACUGCGCCGCCGCGGCCCGCCGCUUCCUGCUGUCGUCGGCCGCCGCCGCUGCCGCCUCCUCGGCCUCGUCGCCCGCCACCCGUUGCAAGGAGCUGGGGCUGGCUGCCGCCGCCGCCUGGGAGCAGCAGGGCCGGAGCCUCUUCGUGGCCAGCAUGGGGCCGCUGCGCUUCCUGGGGCCGCCGGCCGCCGUGCAGCUCUUCCAGGGGCUGCCGCCACAGACGGAGCAUCCCUUGGCCCCCGACCUAGUGUGCAACUGGAAGGACGACGAGCUUCCCGACUACACCUACUGCAGCCAGCCGCCACGCAGCAGCGGCGGCGGCGGCGGAGGACCUGUUGGGGGAGGUGGCUUGCUGCUGCAGCCACUGGAUGCUGGCUACUGCCAGGCCCCAGAGCAGCCCCUGCCAGUGAUCGGCUCCAGGCCCACCUCUCCUUCCUCAGAGUGUUCCUUCAUUGAAGCUACCGGCGACACUCUCCGGGCUGGAAGCAUCACUGCGUGGUCCGCCCAGCAUCAGGCUGAAAGCCGCAAAGCGGACUGUCCGAGGGUCCCCGAUCCCUUCGAAUUCCUUAGAGAUUCGCCCCCUGAGCCCCUAGACAUCAACCAGCUACCCGGGUCCAUCGUGCUUGAGGUGGAUCUGGACGACUAGGUCCAGGGAUGCGAGUUUUUCCCCAACGCAGCCCCCCCGCCCCCCUUCCCGAGGCUGUCUCUGUCCUCCCCCUGUGCAAGGAGGAGUGGGAUUCCCUGAUUCCCUGACAGCCCGGGGUCGCUUGAAGGGGAGACUGGGCAGCCAGUCGCCCCGUGCUUAAGGCCUGUUUUGAAGUAGAAAAGCUUGGAGUCUGCUGAAUGCCUUGUCGUAGAUUAGGUCCGUUUCCACAAUUCAGGAUUCAUUUAUUGCUUUAGCAAAUCCCGAUAUAGAAACUAUUAGAUUUCUGUGGAAUAAAUAUAUGCAUACUUGAGCAAUUUCUAUUUGGUGGGUAACAGCUUUACAUACCGACGUUUGAAAAAGUUUUCAAACUGUUUUCAGGUUUGGUCGCUGCUAGUUAGUGCCAAUAACUUACAAUUAAGCAUGUACCAUGAUCAGUCACUGUACCAGCGCUUUAUAAAUCUCAUGGGUUUCUCCAUUUGAUGCUGUGACAUAAAUCCUGUUAAUAUUUAUUGUAUUAAAAAAGAAACUGACAUUCCAGUGUUUUGGGACAGAUGACUUACACCAGUGAGCCCUGAAGAAGAGGAAAUCGUGGUUGAAAGACUGGAUCAAGGUCACACCCAUAAACUAAAGAGCAAAUCUGGGACUUGAACUAGGGACUUUCGGCCAGCUUGACUUGAAAACCAAACCAACUCUGUUCUUUAUGCCGUUGUUCCUCCUUCCUAUGUCCUUACCUUUCUUUAUGUGCAAUGGAUUACCAGAAGUCGGAAGUCUUUUAUGUUGGGGGUUGGGUGAAUGAAGAAGUUAAGUGCCUGGUGGGAAUUUUAUGUCAGUGUCAGUUACUAAGUAAAAUGUCCUGCUUUGUCAGCGCUAGAAACAAACUUUGUGACAGUUUGUGUUAAGUUAUUAACUCCCCUUCCCCUUGUUUCUUGUCUUUGUUCCCACACUUUUUUCUGGAGGUUAUAAAAUGAGAACUUGAGUUUUCAGUGUGGAUGAUAUUUAAAUAGCACUAGCCAGAAAGAACCUUCAGGAGACUGUGGCUACUUUCCUUGUUACUGAAUUAACUGCCAAUGAAUUGUAAAUGUUACUGUCACAUCAGUGUACCUUAUCUGAGUAGACUUUUAACAUAUGUGUAAUUGUGUGUUUGAAUCUGUUUUACUGUGACAUUGAUGUUCUUGUGAAAAAUACAGCAAAAGACUAAAUAAGUUCC